rnacentral:rRNA from 1 species
GAUAAACGCUGGCGGCGCACAUAAGACAUGCAAGUCGAACGGACUUAACUUCAUUCUUUACGAUUGAAGAGCGGUUAGUGGCGGACUGGUGAGUAACACGUAAGCAACCUGCCUAUCAGAGGGGAAUAACAGCGAGAAAUCGUUGCUAAUACCGCAUAAGCUGAUAUUCUCGCAUGAUACAGUCAGAAAAGGAGCAGUCCGCUGAUAGAUGGGCUUGCGUCUGAUUAGCUAGUUGGUGGGGUAACGGCCUACCAAGGCGACGAUCAGUAGCCGAGCUGAGAGGCUCAACGGCCACAUUGGGACUGAGAUACGGCCCAGACUCCUACGGGAGGCAGCAGUCGGGAAUAUUGCGCAAUGGAGGAAACUCUGACGCAGUGACGCCGCGUAUAGGAAGAAGGUUUUCGGAUUGUAAACUAUUGUCAUUAGGGAAGAAAAAAGACUGUACCUAAGGAGGAAGCCCCGGCUAACUAUGUGCCAGCAGCCGCCGUAAGAC